CCUCAGCAGGGGCUUCGCCGUCGAUGGCGUC
rnacentral:sRNA from 1 species